rnacentral:rRNA from 1 species
UACGUAGGCAGCAAGCGUUGUUCGGAGUUACUGGGCGUAAAGAGUGCGUGGGCGGUGCCCUAAGUCUGUUGUGAAAUCUCCCGGCUUAACUGGGAGGGUGCGGUGGAAACUGGGGUGCUUGAGUGUGGGAGAGGUUAGCGGAAUUCUUGGUGUAGCGGUGAAAUGCGUAGAUAUCAAGAGGAACACCCGUGGCGAAAGCGGC